rnacentral:lncRNA from 1 species
CUAGCUCAGAUAGGUGAAGAAGGAGGCACAAUUUCUAAAACCAAAGGCCCUUAAAUCUGAGCCUUGACAAUAAGGGACUUCGAUCCUACAGACCUUUGUGAGGGAGGGAAGGAUAGGCUGUACAGUUGCACCCCCAAGAGGAAUGUGAUCACUCUCUUCAGGUAUGUUAGAGCUUGAAUCCUUCGAUGAAGAAUUCUGUUGGCUUUGAUAAUAUAAAUUCAAGGCAUAACAACCAAAGGGUUGGGUUAUUAGGUUGAAAUCCCUAUUGCCUCGAACAAAAAAACUCUCAUCUAGUUAAGCACCUGGGUAGGAGAAAACUACAAGUUAUGGGCAUGAUUGAUUAUGAGUGGAACAUAUGCACUUAAUUUUAUAAUUUGUAAACAUAUUUUUGUAUUAUAUGCAAUUUGAAUAACAUUUUUUCAAUUUAAAUCUGUUAUACUCGCAUUAUUAAAUAUUUCUUUAACCUUUUUACAUUGCAAGUCUUAGGAAAGUGAGAGAAUGUAAUAGUAGCUCUUUUAGAGUUUGCAUUAUUCCUUGUUGGCAUGAGAUGGUAAAUAGAACAAAACACAUCUGAUAAGUGUGUUUUUGCACACUUAUUUAGGUUACAAACAUGACUUAAUAAUGAGCAAAAUGAUUGAAUUGUGACUUAAUCUCGUUAUAUUUGUGAAUUGUAGGGAACACCGAUGAACAUGCUAAAAUUUAGAAGAAAAGAGCCGAAAAAAGACUAGAAUGGAGCAAAGUGAUAGUUCGAGGACCAACUUGCAAAUGAUCCAUAGAUGAGACCGGAAAUGGAAUGAAGAUUCAAGAGUGUUAGAGGUUAAUCGGAUGAGUAAAGGAGUCAAGAGGUGAAAUACGAUCGAAGUAUUAUCAAGUAUCAACUUUCAGGCGAAAAAGCUAUGCUCGUGAAUUUUAAUCUCUACUUGAGAUCCAUUUUUGACAUAGUAAACAUUAGAAUUUGAGGAAGCCUAUUUCUAUCAAAAGUGUAGAUCUUUGAGUUUUCUUCACAAUGCACUUUGAAUCACUUCAAUCGAAGAUCAGGAGAGAAAGUUAUGACCAAAAUACUAAAAAUUGUCCAGCGGAAAGAAUGGUAUAACCAUGCGGUCGCAUAGUAUAAAUUCUAUGCGGUCGCAUAGAAGCCUCCCGAGAACUUUUUCUCAAAUUUUUUUUACUCUAUGCGACAGCAUAGAAAUGUACUAUGCGGUCACAUAGAACAGGAUUUGGGGCCGAUUCAGCAGUUUCCUUAUUUCGCCGAAACUCUUAUGGAAAGGAGAUUUUUAGGGUUCUAUAUAAACUAAAACUCGACCAGAAUGAUGGGACACCACUUUUACAGAAUUGGAGGGUAUAAUACACAAUUUUGGAGGAUUUGGAGAGGAAGAACAAGGCAAAAACAAGGCAAUCCACUUCAAGAUUCAAGAUUUUACUUCAAGAAUCAAUUGGCUGAUGUUCUUCCUUGGUUUUAAUUAUUGCUUUUCUUUAUUUCCUAUUAUGUUAGGCUAGAUUUUCAUGUGCUAGGAUUUGCGAUGAACCUUACAUUAUGAACCCUUAAUCUUGAAUUUUAUUUAUUUGACGUUAAAACAUGUUUUUAAUUAUUGAAUGAUUGGCAUGGAUUUUAUUUUCUC